UACGGAGGGUGCGAGCGUUGUCCGGAAUCACUGGGCGUAAAGGGCGCGUAGGCGGCGCGGAUAGUCGGCGGUGAAAGCCCGGAGCUCAACUCCGGGUCGGCCGUCGAUACUUCCGGGCUUGAGCACUGUAGAGGCAGAUGGAAUUCCGGGUGUAGCGGUGGAAUGCGUAGAGAUCCGGAAGAACACCGGUGGCGAAGGCGACUUACUGGACACGUAUUGACGCUGAGGUGCGAAAGCGUGGGGAGCAAACAGG
rnacentral:rRNA from 1 species